ACAGCAGUAGCCGCGGUAAUACGAAGGGGGCUAGCGUUGUUCGGAAUUACUGGGCGUAAAGCGCACGUAGGCGGAUAUUUAAGUCAGGAGUGAAAUCCCAGAGCUCAACUCUGGAACUGCCUUUGAUACUGGGUAUCUUGAGUAUGGAAGAGGUGAGUGGAAUUCCGAGUGUAGAGGUGAAAUUCGUAGAUAUUCGGAGGAACACCAGUGGCGAAGGCGGCUCACUGGUCCAUUACUGACGCUGAGGUGCGAAAGCGUGGGGAGCAAACAGGAUUAGAUACCCCCGUAGUCCCUGUCUCUUAUAC
rnacentral:rRNA from 1 species